rnacentral:rRNA from 1 species
GACGAACGCUGGCGGCGUGCUUAACACAUGCAAGUCGAACGGAAAGGCCCUGCUUUUGUGGGGUGCUCGAGUGGCGAACGGGUGAGUAACACGUGAGUAACCUGCCCUUGACUUUGGGAUAACUUCAGGAAACUGGGGCUAAUACCGGAUAGGAGCUCCUGCUGCAUGGUGGGGGUUGGAAAGUUUCGGCGGUUGGGGAUGGACUCGCGGCUUAUCAGCUUGUUGGUGGGGUAGUGGCUUACCAAGGCUUUGACGGGUAGCCGGCCUGAGAGGGGGACCGGGCACAUUGGGACUGAGAUACGGCCCAGUCUCCUACGGGAGGCAGCAGUGGGGAGUAUUGCACAAUGGGCGGAAGCCUGAUGCAGCAACGCCGCGUGCGGGAUGACGGCCUUCGGGUUGUAAACCGCUUUCGCCUGUGACGAAGCGUGAGUGACGGUAAUGGGUAAAGAGGCACCGGCUAACUACGUG